rnacentral:rRNA from 1 species
GAUGAACGCUGGCGGCGUGCCUAAUACAUGCAAGUCGAGCGAACAGACGAGGAGCUUGCUCCUCUGACGUUAGCGGCGGACGGGUGAGUAACACGUGGAUAACCUACCUAUAAGACUGGGAUAACUUCGGGAAACCGGAGCUAAUACCGGAUAACAUGUUGAACCGCAUGGUUCAACAGUGAAAGACGGUUUUGCUGUCACUUAUAGAUGGAUCCGCGCCGCAUUAGCUAGUUGGUAAGGUAACGGCUUACCAAGGCAACGAUGCGUAGCCGACCUGAGAGGGUGAUCGGCCACACUGGAACUGAGACACGGUCCAGACUCCUACGGGAGGCAGCAGUAGGGAAUCUUCCGCAAUGGGCGAAAGCCUGACGGAGCAACACCGCGUGAGUGAAGAAGGUCUUCGGAUCGUAAAACUCUGUUAUUAGGGAAGAACAAAUGUGUAAGUAACUAUGCACGUCUUGACGGUACCUAAUCAGAAAGCCACGGCUAACUACGUG